rnacentral:rRNA from 1 species
AGCAGCCGCGGUAAUUCCAGCUCCAAUAGCGUAUAUUAAAGUUGUUGCAGUUAAAAAGCUCGUAGUUGAAUUUCGGGGUUAGUAGGUUGGUCAUGCCUCUGGUAUGUACUGGUCUCACUGAUUCCUCCUUCCUGAUGAGCCGUAAUGCCAUUAAUUUGGUGUUGCGGGGAAUUUGGACUGUUACUUUGAAAAAUUAGAGUGUUUAAAGCAAGCUAACGCUUGAAUACAUUAGCAUGGAAUAAUGAAAUAGGACGUUCGAUCCUAUUUUGUUGGUUUCUAGGAUUGACGUAAUGAUUAAUAGGGAUAGUUGGGGGCAUUAGUAUUCAAUUGUCAGAGGUGAAAUUCUUGGAUUUUAUUGAAGACUAACUACUGCGAAAGCAUUUGCCAAGGAUGUUUUCAUUAAUCAAGAACGAAAGUUAGGGGAUCGAAGACGAUCAGAUACCGUCGUAG